UACCGUUACCUUGUUACCACUUCCCCCCAGUCACCAAAUUCCCCCUUCGCCGCCUCCUCCCUAGGUUGGGUCACGGACUUCGGGCGCUCCCCGCUUCCAUGGCGUGACCGGCGGUGUGUACCAGGCCCGGGAACCUAUUCCCCGUAGCGUUGCUGAUCUACGAUUACUAGCGAUUCCCCCCUUCUGCAGUCGAGUUUCAGACUGCAAUCCGAACUUAGACCGGCUUUUUGAGAUUCGCUUACCCUCGCGAGUUUGCAGCUCUUUGUACCGGCCAUUGUAGCACGUGUGUAGCCCUGGGCGUAAGGGCCAUGAUGACUUGACGUCGUCCCCACCUUCCUUCGGUUUAUCACCGGCAGUCCCCUAUGAGUCCCCGGCAUGAUCCGCUGGCAACAUAGGGCAAGGGUUGCGCUCGUUGCGGGACUUAACCCAACAUCUCACGACACGAGCUGACGACAGCCAUGCAGCACCUGUCAAAGUGUCCCUAAGGACGGCAUCUGUUUCUAGGAGCUUUCACUACGAUGUCAAGCUCAGGUAAGGUUCUUCGCGUUGCUUCGAAUUAAACCACAUGCUCCAUCGCUUGUGCGGGCCCCCCGUCAUUCCUUUGAGUUUCAGCCCUUGCGACGUACUCCCCAGGCGGGGCAUUAAUGCUUAGCUUCCACACCGAAUCCGUCAUAGACCCGGCAUCUAGUGCCCAUCG
rnacentral:rRNA from 1 species